rnacentral:sRNA from 1 species
ACAGAAGUCCACUCAUUCUUGGCAGGAUGGCUUCUCAUCGUCUGCUCCUCCUCUGCCUUGCUGGACUGGUAUUUGUGUCUGAGGCUGGCCCUACGGGCGCUGGUGAAUCCAAGUGUCCUCUGAUGGUCAAAGUUCUAGACGCUGUCCGAGGCAGUCCUGCCGUCAAUGUGGCUGUGAAUGUGUUCAAAAAGGCUGCUGAUGAGACCUGGGAGCCAUUUGCCUCUGGGAAAACCAGUGAGUCUGGAGAGCUGCAUGGGCUCACAACUGAGGAGGAAUUUGUAGAAGGGAUAUACAAAGUGGAAAUAGACACCAAAUCUUACUGGAAGGCACUUGGCAUCUCCCCAUUCCAUGAGCAUGCAGAGGUGAGUAUACAGACCUCUGAGGGUUGUUUUGGUUUUGGUUUUUGCUUUUGGCAUCCCAGGAAAUGCACAGUUUUACUUAGUGUACCACAGAAAUGUCCUAAGGAAGGUGAUGAAUGACCAAAGGUUCCCUUUCCUAUUAUACAAGAAAAAAUUCACAACUCUGAGAAGCAAAUUUCUUUUUGACUUUGAUGAAAAUCCACUUAGUAACAUGACUUGAACUUACAUGACACUAUUCAUAGUCUAUUCAUUCCACUUUAUAUGAAUAUUGAUGUAUUUGCUGUUGAAAUAAUAGUUUAUGAGGCAGCCCUCCAGACCCCACGUAGAGUGUAACAAGAGAUGCACCAUUUUAUUUCUCGAAAACCCACAACAUUCUUCAUUCCAAAACACAUCUGGCUCCUCGGAGGUUUGGACAAGUGAUUCUUGGCAACACACACCUAUAGAGACAAUAAAAUCAAAGUAAUAAUGGCAACACAAUAGAUAACAUUUACCAAGCAUACACCAUGUGGCAGACACAAUUUUAAGUGUUUUCCAUAUUUAACCUACUUAAUCCUCAGGAAUAAGCCACUGAGGUCAGUCCUAUUAUUAUCC